AAUGUAAGUGUUUAACGUGGCUGAAAGACAUUGCAGUAGUAUAUAUUACAAUAUAGAACAGUUAUGCUUAGGCUUGUUAUUUAUCAAUCUCUGCUUAGGCGUUUCGCGUAUUAGUCUUCAAUCUCAUGUCUUGGACUCUUGGGCCGUUUUCACCUAGAUUUAAUUGAAGCUUGAAAACUAAGCUUUGGUGUCUAUGUGGUUUUUCGCUGUAAUUUUGGCGAACGCCCCUGAAGAAAUCGUCUUUUUCUGUUUUAUAUUUUCCUCUCAUGGUGCAAUCAGAAUCGUUUGACUCUGUUAAUUUCUACCACACAUUACUAUUUUGCAGGUUUUUAAAAGUGGCCCACUUUUCAUAUCUUCCAAAGGAAUAGGCUGGAAGUCAUGGAAGAAGAGGUGGUUUAUACUCACGUGCACAUCAUUGGUUUUCUUCAAAAAUGAUCAUCUUUUGUGGGUCAACCUUAUUAUGGACACACUUA